rnacentral:lncRNA from 10 species
CCUGCCUCAGCCUCCCAAAUAGCUGGGAUUACAGGCGCACACCACCAUCCCCAGCUAAAUUUUGUAUUUGUAGCAGAGACAGGGUUUCAUCAUGUUGGCCAGGCUGGUCUUGAACUCCUGAUCUCUGAUGAUCUGCCCACCUUGGCCUCCCAAAGUGCUGGGAUUAUAGGCGUGAGCCACCGCACCCUGCUGAAGUUUCAGUCUUCAUAAUUGCAGAUGCUUUAGUUGGAAACGUUGUCAUAGGAAAAGCUGUUUUUUCUUUCUCUUUGAAUCAUCAAACACAUCUUGCAAUGGUUUUGGCCAUGUUAUCUCUGGUGACCUGGAAGCGACUUUGAUAUUAAGCUUCAGAGUAUGCUGAAACAAGUCAAGACUUUUGGUGAUGUUAGGAUGGUAAGCAUGUAUUUUGCAUGUGAGGUCAUAAAUUUAGGGAGCAGGUAGAAAAUUAUUGCUUUAUUUGUCCCCUGAAAUUCAUAUUAUUAUUAUUUUUUUGAGAGAGUUUUGCUCUUGUUGCCUAGGCUGGAGCGCAAUGGCACAAUCUUGGCUCAAUGCAACCUCCACCUCCUGGUUUCAAGCGAUUCUCCUGCCUCAGCCUCCCAAGUAGCUGAGACUGUAGGCAUACGCCACCGUACCCGGCUAAUUUUUUGUAUUUAGUAGAGACAGGGUUUCACCAUGUUGGUCAGGCUGGUCUCCAACUCCUGACCUCAGGUGAUCCAUGCACCUCGGCCUCCCAAAGUGCCGGGAUUAUAGAGAUGCGCCACCACGCCCAGCCCUGAAAUUCAUAUUUUGAAACCUUACUCCCUAAUGUAUGGAAUGAGGAGAUAGGAUGCCUGGGAGGUAAUUAGGAUUACUUGGGAUCAUGAGGGUAGAGUUCUCAGGAAUGGGACUAUAAGGUUCCCUAGAGAGCUUGCAUUUGCUCUCUAUUAUGUGAGGACACAAUGAGAUGAAAGCCUUCUUUGAACAAGGAAGCUUGCCCUUACCAGGCACUGAAUCUACUAUCACUUUGAUCUUGGAGUUCACAAUCUCCUGUAUACUGAGGAGCAAAUGUUAGGUGUUUAAUACACCCAGCUUAUGUCAUUUUGUUUUAGGAGCCCCUGGUGGAUAAAGCACAACCCCAUUAAAAAAUAGGUGAAGGAGUUGAAUAGACAUUUCUCUAAUGAGGAUGUACAAAUAGACAAUAAUUACAUAAAGAAGAUGUUCAGCAUCACUCAUGGUUUAGGGACAUGCAAAUCAAGAGCAAAAUGACAUCUAUAUCCCCUCACCCUCAUUAGUUUGCUUCUGUCCAAGAACAAAAUAACAUGCUGGCAACGAUGUGGAAUAGUGAGGACCCUUGUACACUAUUGAUGGAAAUGCAAAAUGUCACAACUACUUUUGAAAACUAUAUGGCAGGCCGGGUGCGGUGGCUCAUGCCUGUAAUCCCAGCACUUUGGGAGCCUGAAGUGGGCAGAUCACCUGAGAUUGGGAGUUGAAGACCAGCCUGACCAAGAUGGAGAAACCCCAUCUCUACUAAAAAUACAAAAAAAUUAGCCGGGCAUGGUGGCCCAUGCUUGUAAUCCCAGCUACUCAGGAGGCUGAGGCAGGAGAAUCACUUGAACCCGGGAGGCGGAGGUUACAGUGAGUGGAGAUCGCGCCAUUGCACUCCAGCCUGGGCAACAAGAGCGAAAGUCCAUCUCAAAAAAAAAAACAAAAAAACAAAAAAAAAAACAACUGUGUGGCAGGUAAUCAAUACAUUGAAAAAAUGGAAAUAACAUCCACCAUUUUUCCCUUCUGGGAAUAUAAGCAAAAGAAUAGAGACGGGGGCCUGAAAUGGGUAUUUGUAUACAUGGUAUAGCAGUAUAACUUACCAAUAGGGAAAAUGUGGAAGCAACUCUCUUGUAUAUUGACAGAUGGAUGAAUAAGCAAAAGGUAGUAUAUGCAUAGGAUAGACUAUUACUCUGCCUUCAAACGGAAGGGUGACCUGACAAAUGCUACAGCAUUGAUGAACUUGGAGCACAUUAUGCUAAGUGAAAUAGUCCAUUCAUAUAAAGACACACCUUAUAAGGUCGAGUCACUUGAUUUUUUACAACCUGUCUCCAGACAUGGGCUCCUUAAACUCCAGACCCAAAAUGUUUUUGCUUAUAUGAGGUACUCAGAGGAGUCAAAUUCAUAAAGAAAGUAGAAUGGUGAUUGUGUGGAAUAGGGGAAGUGGGUAAUGGAGACUUAUGAUUUAAUGGCAUAAAGUUUCAAUAUUGCAAGAUGAAAAGGGUUCUGGAGAUAGAUGGUGGUGAUGGCUGCACACCAAUAUGAACGUACUGAAAGCCAGUAAUUCUACACUUAAAAAUUAAGAUGGGCCGGGCACAGUGGCUCACGCUUGUAAUCCCAGCACUUUGGGAGGCCGAGGUGGGUGGAUCACCUGAGGUCAGGAGUUGGAGACCAGCCUGGCCAAAAUGGCAAAACCCCGUCUCUACUAAAAAUACAAAAAUGAGCUGGGCAUGGUGGUGCAUGCCUGUAAGCCCAGUUACUCAGGAGGCUGAGGCAGGAGGAUCUCUUGAACCCGGGAGGCUGAGGUUGCAGUGAGCUGAGAUUGUGCCACUGCACUCCAGCCUGGGAGACAGAGCAAGACUCCAUCUCAACAACAACAACAAAAAAUUGUUAAGAUGAUAAAUUGUAUUUUUUCUGUAUUUUAGUACCAUUAAAAUACGUGGGAUUGGUCAGAGUGGUGGAUAGGGAAAGGACGCAAACCUUCUGAGAGGUUGGAAGGUUCUGCAGAGCCCUGGGGGAGAAUAGCUGAAGGUGGCUGUUCUAUAACCCUGAGGCAGAGGGCAUGGAGUAGGUACAAGGGAGUGUGGGGGAAUUUAUCUUAAACAGGCUUGUUUACUUGUGUUGACCAGGAACUGACCUUUCAUCAUCCCUGUGCCUGACGUUCCCUGAAAGGGGAACAAUAAGUGUUAAUUACCUACAGGUUGUGUUGGCUCCAGGUUUUUGGCAUUGUGCCUAGACUGAAUAAAAGCAAGCAGCUCCAGCUUCUUGGGGCUGCUUUCUGGCCACUAGAGCCAGGCAGUCACCUAGUUGCUGUUACACUGAAUACCUGUGUCUGAGUCCUCAUUUCAUCCGUUGGCCAGGGUCUGCAGGACAGACCCGGCAUUAAAAGAGUGGGGAGCCACAGUAGUGCAAAGACCCCACUGGACCACCAACAUACCAAGCAGUUCUUGGUUCAAUCCCUCCUUGUCCUCAACACUGUUUUUCCAUUUUCCUUGUCCAUAAAGGACCUGUUUCCACAUGCUUGCUUUGACUCUGAUGUCACCUUUAGAGUUGAUGCUCAGGCAUAGCUCACUUAACUGCCUCACCUUUUCUCUCCUGAUCUGGUUGUUGAUGGCUGUUGUGAGACAUUGGUUGUUGCCUUUUUAGUUUAAAAGGAUUCAAAUGACACACAGCAAUGGAGAUGCAGUAUAUGGCAAUUUAUUGCAAACGAAAAAGUAUUUUGAAAGUUAAGUGCAGAACAGACAGUAUGCCCUGAGAGAGAGA